rnacentral:rRNA from 1 species
AGCGAACGCUGGCGGCAGGCUUAACACAUGCAAGUCGAGCGCCCCGCAAGGGGAACCGCAGUCGGGAGAGUAACACGUGGGAACCUACCUUUUGGUUCGGAACAACUUAGGGAAACGUCAGCUAAUACCGGAUGAGCCCUUCCGGGGUAAGAUUUAUCGCCUAAAGAUUGGGCCGCGUCUGAUUCGCUAGUUGGUGAGGUAACUGCUCCCCAAUGCGACGAGCAGUAGCUGGUCUGAGAGGCAGAUCAGCCACACCGGCGCUGGGACACGGCCGAGAAUCCUACGGGAGGCAGCAGUGGGGGAUAUAGGAAAAUCGGGUCAAUCCUGAACGAGCCAUGCCGGGUGAGUGAUGAAGUCCGUAGGGUAGUAAAGCACUUUUGCCCGGGAAGAUAAUGACGGUACCGGAAGAAUAAGCCCCGGCUAACUUCGUG